rnacentral:lncRNA from 1 species
GGAGGUGGCAGAAGAGCUAUGCGGAAGGCUGGGAUUUGGACGGCGGUCUCUCCAGCUGUGAUAGGCGGGAGAUGCGGCUUUGACCUGCCGUUUUUGCUCAGGUCGAGCACCUAGACAGGGUCGUGGGCAAGGGGGGAGUUGCAAAGAGGGCGGGUCUGCGACCAGGCGGCGGGGAUUGUGGGGACGGGUGCUGGAUUUUGAAUCCAAGGCCGGCGGCUCGCUCAUCCGGGCAAAGCAAAGGGAGGAAGGAAGAAGGACUGUGGGUUGAUUACGAAAAAGUUGAGGAACUUUUUUUGCAAAACAACCAUGACGGUUGGAAGAAACAACCGCACUUUAAUAUUAGGUAGAGAUUUUUGCGAGUAGUGUCGGUAUUUUAGACCGGCAACCCGCCUAGGGGGUACCCUAGGUGGUCUUUUAUGCGGUAAGGGUCGUCGAGAAUCAAGGAAUCAAUGGUGACGCAAGGAACACGAUUUAGACAGGUUCGGGCCGCUAGAUCGCGUAAUACCCUAC